UCCGCCGGGCCCGGGGAAGCCGCCCGCGACGCCCCGAGCCCCCGACCUGGGCAGGCGGCGGAAGGGUUAAGCGGCCGGGAGGUUAGUCAGCGAGACUCCUGGGGUGAUGGCUUGGAAGAGGAGAGUCCCUCUGGCUGAAGUUUAAAGGAGGUUUCUCCAGACAGAAUCGUAUCGCCUUCGCGGAGCGCUUCAAACCAAACCUAAAGCCAGUCCCGUCCCUUCCCCGAGGGACCUUCUCGCCAUGAAACCCUUCCUGCCUACCCAGCCGAGCUGCCUGCGAGCGAGCUAAAACCGGCAGGAGAAACCAGCGGGCCCGAGGAGUGACCUACAGAGACCCCCGGGCAAGGGAAGCGCGCAGGAGGGCACACACACAGCACACAGACACACAGCGCGGGAGUAAGACCCUACCUUGAUCCAUAGACCUCAUGAUGUGGUGAUCCAUUUAGAAGAGGAGCAACCCCAUGGAUUUCCACUGAUACACGUGGAGCUUAGCAAGAAUGAAAUAGCCAAGGAAGCCUCCGAAACCAAGACAACCCGUGUGUGUUUACACGUACUGUGUAUAAACAGGAAAAUAAAGCAAAAGAAAACAGGAAAAUAAAGAUGUCGUGAACUGUG